UACGAAGGGGGCUAGCGUUGCUCGGAAUCACUGGGCGUAAAGCGCACGUAGGCGGAUCUUUAAGUCAGGGGUGAAAUCCUGGAGCUCAACUCCAGAACUGCCUUUGAUACUGGGGAUCUCGAGUCCUGGAGAGGUUAGUGGAAUUCCGAGUGUAGAGGUGAAAUUCGUAGAUAUUCGGAAGAACACCAGUGGCGAAGGCGACUAACUGGACAGGUAUUGACGCUGAGGUGCGAAAGCGUGGGGAGCAAACAGG
rnacentral:rRNA from 1 species